CGCACUUAUGCUGUCUCCAGAGGAGAACUGGCACUCGGGAGAGUGUGGUUAGGUUCUAACUGGAAGGCAAUUCUCUUUUGUGUGUACAUACCCCAACGAGAGAAGGAUGGUUGGCCAUCAUGUGACUCAAGUUAUGAGUGAGAAAAUCUGCUGUGAGCCAGGCUGGGUGGUGCACCUGUAAUCCCAACACUCAAGGAGCCUGAAGCCCAAGGAUCAUGAAUUUGGGUCCAACCUGUACAACAUAGCCAGAACACUGAUGAUAUCUGCCUGGAAAUUUGUAUGUGACUUGAAGAUAGAUGUUUUCAUUUUUUCCUUUGGUAACCUAGUUUUAAUUUAUUUCUUUU
rnacentral:lncRNA from 1 species